CAUUGCUGCUUUUGCUCAUGCAUUUCCUCAUGGCCCAGGACUACAAUCAAGCUCUUUGAAACAGGUCAUGAGCUUCCCCAAGAAGCCACAGUAUGAAUGGUGAAGGGAGAUGGGAGGUGGGGUAGAAGGAAUGCGAGUCUCUCAGUCAAAUAUAAUCAGGAUCUUUCUUCUUUUGCUAACGCUCUGUCCUUACUUGGGUUAAAAAGGUGCUACCACUUUAUUUCAUGCCAUAUCUAUUCAGAGGAUGGGAUGUUACAGCAAAAUGAAGAAUCUGCCUUAAACAAAUGAAGAGAUUUGGAAGUGGAAGGGCUUUAGAAAUCCUCUAGCCCUUACCCAGAAUUGUACAGAGCAGAAAAAUGAGGAUCAGAAAAGAGAAUGAGCUUGCUCAAGAUCACAUGGCUUCCUGGCAGAACCAGGUCAAACCCCAAGUUUCACGAUGCACAGUACAAAGCUCCUUCUAUGUCACUCCGGGAGUGAAAGCAAUUGCUGAGGUGGUCAGCUAGCACAUGGCCAAUAUAGCUGCGGCUAUUAUCAUACCAACGGGAAGGAAAGCACUCUCCAGCAAGGGCCAAGAGAAAUUACAGUUAACAUUUAACAUGAUGGGACCAACUUCAAAGACACGCCAGCUGGACUCUUAAUAAUGGGAGAUGAAACUGCUAACCCUAGCAGAAAGUUGCAGGUGGACAACUCUGGCUGGAAAUAGCACAUGUCCUCCGAGCAGGAGUGCUCUUCAGAAACCCCAACACAAGGCUGCUGCCUCACUGCAGGGUGGGGAGAAACACGGGAAAUAACCCGUCAUCUGUUGGCAGUUCCACCUGUGAUUAAGCGGUGUGUCCCUUGUUAAUGCCAUUAAGACACUUGGAAAUGCCCACAUUUGUCAAUUAGGGGGAGGGGGAAGAGGGGCUGCUGAUGUCACUGGGAGAGGGAGAUGGUGCCGUCUUCAAGAAAGACUACAUUUGGUUCUAACAGUAGGCAGGGAAGACAGGAGAGGGCUGCUGCUCCAUCGCCACCAAGGAGUGCAGACAGGACACUGCAGAUUCUGGAGCCUGAGAAGAAAGUUUCCAACUGAGAAAAGUCAGUUAAUUUUGGAACUUCUAUUCCUGCCUAGAUGGACGUCACCUGUAGAACCCUCAGUAACUUUGGGCCACAGCUUAUAUCUUAAAUGAAGAGCUGAUUCCACCUUGCAGAGAAAUAGUCCUAGCCAUCCUUUUUUGGUGUGUUCUAGUCGCCUCCCAGGGCCCUGACUCCUGGUGUGAUGGUGGCGGGGAGGAGCCGAGGAGCGGCAUGUAGCUCUAGCAGGAGAGGCGGCCUCUGGCCCUGCUUCCUGCACAGCCUGGACACCUGCAGCACAAACCCUGUUCUUGCUGUGCUUUCACUGUUGGUCCUACGCGUUACGCCUGCCAGAACAGCUUGCGUAUGGCAUUCGUUCAGGCUCUGCCUGGACCCCCACCCACAGACCUCACCAGGGACCUCUGUUCAAGUCUGCCCUCAGGUGGCUAAAAGGGAGGAGAUUCCACAUCAGGCCUCCCAUGGCAGGGCCCUUGGCUGGCUCUGACACCGUGUCUCUGCUCUAAUUACUAGGCUUCUGUCCUAUCCCUGAGGUCAAGUUCCCCAAUCUGGGUAUUGGGCCCUUGCCUUGAUGGGCUUUAGUUCUUAGGAACAACUGUGCCCUACUUACCUUGCCAACUACUACUCUCCCACCCCACCCAAAUCGGUCUUGUCUCGCUGAAUUCUCAAGGUGCUAUUGAGGCCUCACUGCCAGUUGCCCCUGAUGGUGCUACUACCCCACUGACCCAGGUCUCUACGCCGAGCCCUCUCCUAGAGUGACCUCACCUCACCGUCAAUGAAGCCCUCCAUGUUGCCAUGAGCUGCAUUUUCCUGGUCCAGGCCCCAAACACCAGGAACUGUCUGGUUCUCCCGGCUUGACUCAGCCCAGCCCUACAAAGCAGGUGUGUGGGAAAGGCUUGUUUCCCAGUAAAGGCAAUACACUGCCAGUAGAUGAAAUAAUUAAAGCAUAUGACCUGUUAUUUAAGAA
rnacentral:lncRNA from 1 species